rnacentral:pre_miRNA from 1 species
UCCAAUCGAUAGUUGAAGCUGCCAGCAUGAUCUGAGCUUUUCCUUCUUUUGUAUAUUUCUCGACUUAUAUAUGUGUGUGUAUGUAUGUUUGGUCUAAAUUUGGGCCGAAUGCAUAUACAAAUAUGUUUAUAUUUAAGUCUAGACGGGUACGUAUAUAUGGGCAAGAACAGAUCAUGUCGGAGCUUCACCUAUUGAAAGG